ACGAAGGACUAGGACACAGCAUAAAAGCCUGCACUGCUCCAGGCUCUGCAUCCUCCUCUCUUGCCUCCCUUUCCUCCAGGAACGAGCUUUGCCUCGCUCACCGAGAGAUGUCUUGCUUCAGACCCUGUAUCCCACCACCUUGUGGUUCCUCUGGCCCAACCCCACUUGCAAGCAGCUGCAGUGAGCCCUGUGUCGCCCGCUGUGGUGACUCGACGGUGGCCAUUGAGGCCUCUCCAGUGGUGGUGACCCUGCCGGGCCCCAUCCUCACCUCUUUCCCUCAGAACACUGUUGUGGGAUCCUCUCUGUCAGCUGCUGUUGGGAGCUCCCUCAGCACUGGGGGGGUUCCCAUCUCUUCUGGGGGCUCCCUUGGUCUGGGGGGGCCAGGGCUGUGCCUGCCUCCCCCCCGCUGCCAUCUGAACUGCUGAACCUGGUGCAUCGUCCCUUCUGGAGCAGGAAGAAUGAUGGGGACUGCACAGCAGGAGUGUGGCCAGGCCUUGCAGAUGGGCUGGGUGUCCUCAUGCCAGCUGGCAGGAGGGACCUGUGCCCACGGCUCCUGGCUGCACGUCAGGCCUCGCUGUGCCUCCUCUGGCUCUGCUUUGCUCUGAGCUCCUUGAGAAAGGGCUCGUUCUCUUCUGCUUUGCUGAACCUCCUGGUGCUGGGGGAGGGUGCUGGAGUUAGGGACUGCUCUUGCUGGGCUGGGAUUGCCAGCAGGUGGAGCAGAAUGGGGAAAGGCAAGUGCUUUGUGUUUCAAGCUUGUCCUUGGGCAAUGGGCUGUUCUCUGUGUUGCCCUGAACCCUGCAGAUGUGUUUCUUGAUCUCUGUUCUGUACCACUGCAUUUGCUCCUUCUCAUUAAAGACUUUGCGCAGCGUA